rnacentral:rRNA from 1 species
UACGUAGGGUGCAAGCGUUAAUCGGAAUUACUGGGCGUAAAGCGUGCGCAGGCGGUUUUGUAAGACUGUCGUGAAAUCCCCGGGCUUAACCUGGGAAUUGCGCUCGAAACUACGGAGCUGGAGUGUGGCAGAGGAAGGUGGAAUUCCACGUGUAGCGGUGAAAUGCGUAGAGAUGUGGAGGAACACCAAUGGCGAAGGCAGCCUUCUGGGCCAACACUGACACUCAUGCACGAAAGCGUGGGGAGCAAACAGG